ACCACAUGGGCCAGGGAGGUGGAGGUUGCAGUGAGGCGAGAUCAUGCCACUGCACUCCAGCCUGAGUGAUAGAACAAGACCCUGUCUCAAAAAACAAACACAAAAGCACAGCCAUCUGCUGUUGUCUCACCCGUGCAACGCUCCUCACACUUCUGUCCUUCCUCACACCACUCCUCUCUGGAGUCUGUCGCCCACGUCCCUUCAGCUGGCUCUUACCUAAGCCCCCAAGUCUCAACUUCAGGAUUACGCCUUCUACAAAACCUGUGUGCACCUCCAGGUUCAGCCAGGAGCAACCCGCUUGAAUGUAUCUGUCCCGUUCCACUUACGUGGAAGUGGCCGUCUGUAGCCGACACCCUGACUACACCGCACCCACCCAUUCACCUUUCAUCCCAGCCUCGCCCUGUGCCUGGCACACAGCAAGCCCGCGAUCAUACUAUGUUUACUGAAUGGAACUGACAGGCCAGGUAGCAGGUUACUGUGGUGGGAAGGGACGAUGAUCUGAGCCAUGACUGAGACAAAGAGCGGGGAGAGGACAGAGCAGAACAGAACAGGCAUUUUUAAAACACAUUUUUUGCCCCCAAUUUUUAUGAUAUAAUGGAUAUUCCCCCACUCCAAACACGUCUUCUAUUUUUGCCACCCUCUCCCUCAAAACACACAGUGGAAAUUUAAAACAAGAAAGUAAAAGAGCAUGCCUAUAGGGAUAUGCUAAGGCUACCUAAUAUCUACAAUUAUGCUACGAAGGACAGCGAGACCGAGAAAAUUGGAGGUGGGGAAUCAAAAAACAAUUUCUUCUUUAAUUUCUUUGGAAAAAUCCAAUUCUGCCUGUAAAAGCAAUACAAACAUAAAUUUAAAAAAUCAAAAUUCCCUCACGCUAUUCUUCCUUGGCUGUAGGCUACUGUUAUUUUUAGAUCUUCUGCUAUACCCAGCUAAGACAAUA